rnacentral:lncRNA from 1 species
UAGUAGAAUAAUAAUAUAAUAUAAUAUAAUAUUAGUAUGUUAUAUUAUAAUCAUAGCAUAUUAUUAUAUGACUAUGAAACACCAGUACGCCUAUUGCAGGCCUGUACCAGCAUCCAGUACAUUUUCGGUGCGGCAAAAUACAUCAUGGUAGCCUGUAUUCAAUGCAACGUCGUGGUAGCCAGUAUUAAUACCUGAAAAUCUUUAUUUAUAGCCUGUUUUAAAUGCAUUGUUAUCAAUACAUUUCGUAUGUCCCACAUUUAAUCCAAC